rnacentral:rRNA from 1 species
AUUGAACGCUGGCGGCAUGCUUUACACAUGCAAGUCGAACGGCAGCGCGGGCUUCGGCCUGGCGGCGAGUGGCGAACGGGUGAGUAAUACAUCGGAACGUGCCCAGUAGUGGGGGAUAGCUCGGCGAAAGCCGGAUUAAUACCGCAUACGACCUGAGGGUGAAAGCGGGGGAGCUUCGGACCUCGCGCUAUUGGAGCGGCCGAUGGCAGGUUAGCUAGUUGGUGGGGUAAAGGCCUACCAAGGCGACGAUCUGUAGCUGGUCUGAGAGGACGAGCAGCCACACUGGAACUGAGACACGGCCCAGACUCCUACGGGAGGCAGCAGUGGGGAAUUUUGGGCAAUGGGCGAAAGCCUGAUCCAGCAAUGCCGCGUGUGUGAUGAAGGCCUUCGGGUUGUAAAGCACUUUUGGCGGGAACGAAAAGGACUGUGCCAAUACCACGGUUCGAUGACGGUACCCGCAGAAUAAGCACCGGCUAACUACGUG